rnacentral:rRNA from 1 species
GGGGAAUAUUGCACAAUGGAGGAAACUCUGAUGCAGCGAUGCCGCGUGAGGGAAGAAGGUUUUAGGAUUGUAAACCUCUGUCUUCAGGGACGAAAAAAGGACGGUACCUGAGGAGGAAGCUCCGGCUAACUACGUGCCAGCAGCCGCGGUAAUACGUAGGGAGCGAGCGUUGUCCGGAAUUACUGGGUGUAAAGGGAGCGUAGGCGGGAUCGCAAGUCAGAUGUGAAAACUAUGGGCUUAACCCAUAAACUGCAUUUGAAACUGUGGUUCUUGAGUGAAGUAGAGGUAAGCGGAAUUCCUAGUGUAGCGGUGAAAUGCGUAGAUAUUAGGAGGAACAUCAGUGGCGAAGGCGGCUUACUGGGCUUUAACUGACGCUGAGGCUCGAAAGCGUGGGGAGCAAACAGGAUUAGAUACCCUGGUAGUCCACGCCGUAAACGAUGAUUACUAGGUGUGGGGGGACUGACCCCUUCCGUGCCGCAGCAAACGCAAUAAGUAAUCCACCUGGGGAGUACGACCGCAAGGUUGAAACUCAAAGGAAUUGACGGGGGCCCGCACAAGCAGUGGAGUAUGUGGAUUAAUUCGAAGCAACGCGAAGAACCUUACCAGGUCUUGACAUCGUAUGCAUAGCUCAGAGAUGAGUGAAAUCUCCUCGGAGACAUAUAGACAGGUGGUGCAUGGUUGUCGUCAGCUCGUGUCGUGAGAUGUUGGGUUAAGUCCCGCAACGAGCGCAACCCUUAUUGUUAGUUGCUACGCAAGAGCACUCUAGCAGGACUGCCGUUGACAAAACGGAGGAAGGUGGGGAUGACGUCAAAUCAUCAUGCCCCUUAUGACCUGGGCCUCACACGUACUACAAUGGCUGUAAACAGAGGGAAGCAAAGCCGCGAGGUAGAGCGAACCCCUAAAAGCAGUCUUAGUUCGGAUUGUAGGCUGCAACCCGCCUACAUGAAGUCGGAAUUGCUAGUAAUCGCAGAUCAGCAUGCUGCGGUGAAUACGUUCCCG